ACUCGCGGGGCCACGCCCUCUCCAACGGCUGAGCAGUGGAGGGAGGCUGUGGGGAGUGGGGUGGGGGGCGGUCACCGAAGUAAGGAAGUAAAAGACUGCCGAGAGGGUCACGGAAAGGGGAGGGAGAGAGAAUUGAGACCGCCUGGGGAGGAAGACAGGAGUGAGACAGACUGCACAGGGAGAAAGGAAGGCUGAGGGAGAGUCUGAUGCAGGGGGAAAGUUGGGGAAGGGAAACCUGGAGGGAGAAAUUGAGGAAGGACGGCUUGGUGGAAACACUGAAGGCGAUUGGAGUACUUGAACUAAGAGGGAUGGUUCAGAUCAGAGAUCUGAAGUCUAGCAAAGAAAAGGGUCCCAGACAUCAGGGAACACAAGAAGUUGUUUCCAGUAUAUAUAUUUCCAGUAUUACAUAUAUUCCAGUCGGUUCUAAAACGGUUGACAUUGUUGGUACGGGAAAUCUUAAGCAGCAUUUUAGCUCUUUUUACAUAUUUUACUGCUUUUUCUGAAUUGUGUUUGUUUUGUUUCGCCGUCAUUAUUGCCAAUUAAGUGUUUCUUCCUUCAAAAAGUGAGGUAGAGACCAGAUCCUUAAUCCACGUUGGUUGCAUCAUUAGGAUGGCUUCUUCUACCACUCCAGACUUGCUCAAAGAGACCCUUGCCACUACUCUCAAAGGCAAGGUACAUAGUGGACAGUCGCCUACGACGUUCUCCACAUCCUGGUGUGCUAUAUGCAAGUGGAGCCUUAGGUCCCUACUUGUCCCAUAAGCCAUCAAAAGCCUGGUGCCCUCUCUAACUUUCCCUUCCCUCCGCAGAUUAUUUUCUUCUUCCAUUUAAAGCACUCACUCCCAUCUCUUUUCCUUCUGGAUUAGUUCUCCUAAUGAGCCCACACUUUUCAAAAGUCUUUGGGGACCGGUGCGGUGGCUUAUGCCUGUAAUCCCAGCACUUUGGGAGGCCUAGGUGGGAGGAUUACUUGAGGCUAGGAGUUCGAGAGCAGCCUGGACAAUAUAAUGAGACCUCAUCUCUACAAUAAAAAAAGUUUCCGCCCGGCUUGGUGGCUCAUGCCUGUGAUCCCAACACUUUGGGAGGCCGAGGUGGGCAAAUCACCUGAGGCCAGGAGUUCGAGACCAACUUGGCCAACAUGAUGAAACCCCAUCUUUACUAAAAAUAUAAAAAUUAGCCGGGUGUGGUGGUGCAUACCUGUAAUCCCAGCUACUUGGGAGGCUGAGGCAGGAGAAUUGCUUGAACCAGGGACGCGGAGGCUGCCGUGAGCCGAGAUCACGCCACUGCACUCCAGCCUGGGCAACAGAGCGAGACUACGUCUCAAAAAAAAAAAAAAAGGAAAAAAAGGUUUAUUUGGAAAUUGUCUUCUGAGUGCCUGGAAACUUGAUUUUUGGAUGUGAAGCUUAGAACCCUUUAACUAGAGAACCUAAAGGCCUUCUUUAAGGGGUUAAGGGAGAGGAUUUCCAAAUUACCCACAGAAAUGAAAACAAAACACGUAUCUACAUAAAUUAUAUAUAUAUAAUAUAAAAUAUAGGCCAGAUGCGAUGGCUCAUGCUUGUAAUCCCAGCACUUUGGGAAACCGAGGCGGGCAGAUCACAAGGUCAAGAGAUCGAGACCAUCCUGGCCAACAUUGUGAAACCCCGUCUCUACUAAAAAUACAAAAAUUAGCUGGGUGUGGUGGUGUGCCUGUAGUCCCAGCUACUCAGGAGGCUGAGGCAGAAGAAUCGCUUGAACCCAGGAGGCGGAGGUUGCAGUGAGCUGAGAUUGCAGCACUGCACUCCAGCCUGGGGGACAGUGCGAGACUCUGUCUUGGGAAAAAAAAGAAAGAAAGAAAGAAAUUAGCUGAGUGUGGUGGCGUGCACCUGUUGUCCCCAGCUACUUGAGAGACUGAGGUGGGAAGAUUGCUGCUUGAGCCUGGGAAAUUGAGACUACAGUGAGCAACGACUGCCCCACUGCACUCAGCCUGGACGACAGAGUGAGACCUUGUCUCAAAAAAAAAAAAAAAAAAAAAAAAAAAAAAAAAAAAAAGGCCAGUGCGGUGGCCCACUCCUGUAAUCCCAGCACUUUGGGAGGCCAAAGUGGGUAGAUCACCUGAGGUCAGGAGUUCAAGACCAGCCUGGCUAAUACAGUGAAACCCCAUCUCUACUAAAAACAUAAAAAAGUUAGCUGAACGUGGUGGCAUGCACCUGUAAUCCCAGCUACUUGGGAGGCUGAGGCAGAAGAAUUGCUUGAACCCGGGAGGUGGAGGUUACAGUGAGCCGAGAUCGCGCCACACUGCACUCCAGCCUGGGCAACAGAGUCAGACUCCGUGUCAAAAAGAAAAAAGAAACGAAAAAAUUAAGUGCUGUUGGAGUUCAAUGCAGAAGAUAGAUUUUGGCCAAGGAAGAAUAAGUUCCAGGCAAAGGGAAGUGGAAUAAAUGAGCAGAGAUGAGAACGUGGGAAAUGUGUUCAGGGAAUGGGAGUAAUCCAGUGUCAGACUUGAAGGAAUAGGUGGGUUGAGAGAGCAACUGCAUGAAGAGGGGGGAAGGGGCAAGGAGAAUUUACAGUUCCUUUGCAACUCAUUUCCACUGCCACCCUUGAAGAUCCUUCUUGAGUGGUGGUGUUACAAAUGGCUGAAGCGUCCUUGCCCUGUAAUGAGAUGCCCAAAUAGAGAUCCCUUGAGCUGAGGCUAAUAAAACUUUGAUAAAGGUUUGUCUGAGAAGGAGCUGGGUAGUGGUAUCUAUGGCCUUUCUAGACUAGAAUCAACAGUUACUGCAUAUGUAUAUCAAAACAUGUUGUAGCCAUACCUAUAUACAAUUUUAAAAACACUGGAAACAAAACAAAAAAUAACCCUCAGUCUUUCUGGGUGCUUGCCAGAUCUUUACUUGCUUUCCCUGAGAGUAGGCUGAGCGGGAGAGAUGUGCUCUUCUUCCAGGCGAGAACCCUAAAGGUAAUCUCAGGCCAAGAGUGGUUGAGGUUGCGGUGUAUGUAUCCACUAAGUGAUGCAGCAGCCUUCUAUUUUGGGGGCCCUUCUCAGGGUAGGGAAGAGUAAUUUCUGCUCUGAAAGCCUAGAAGUCUGGAGUUUAUUUUGUGUUCACCACAGUAUGCUGCCCCAGGUCCACCUGAAGGUUAACAACCAUGUGAAAAGACUAACGUUGGAGUGGGGCAAAUUCAAACAACCCGGCAAUGCCUUGUCCUCACUGUGUAUCAUUUGGAAGACCUCUGAAACUUAGUUUUCUCUUCUAUAAAGUGGGGUAAUGCCAUCUACCUUGAAGGCUUAUUGUGAACAUUAACAAAUAUCAGUGUAAACCUCCUGAUAGUAGGGCUUAUAAACAGAAGUAAUCACUAUUAUACCCUUUAGUACCUGAUGAAGAUUUGUGGGUGCUUUAUGUUGGCUAUGGAUCUGAAAGUCCUACUCUCUCUCUCCUUUUUUUUUUUUUUUUUUUUUUUUUUGAGAUGGAGUCUUGCUCUGUCACCCAGGCUGGAGUGCAGUGGCAGGAUCUCAGCUCACUACAAGCUCCACCUCCUGGGUUCACGCCAUUCUCCUGCCUCAGCCUCCCGGGUAGCUGGGACUACAGCUCACCACCAUGCCCAGCUAAUUUUUUUGUAUUUUUAGUAGAGACAGUGUUUCACCGUGUUAGCCAGGAUGGUCUCGAUCUCCUGACCUCAUGAUCCGCCCGCCUCAGCCUCCCAAAGUGCUGGGGUUACAGGCAUGAGCCACCGCGCCUGGCCAAGUCCUACUCUCUAAUCUGUAUAAUUUUCACUGAGUAUAGCUAGGCUUGUUUUGGGGGGAGGAGGAGGUUCCAAAAAGAGCAAGUUUCUUCUACCCUUAAUCCAGUUACUAUGGUAUAGGAUACAGCAGCAGUGCAUAAUGGUUCAGAUGGAGGUUGGUAGCUCUGCCUCUUACCUGCUGGGUGAUUGAGCACAGUGUUUUGCUUUGCUGCAUUAGUCAGGAUUCUUUAGAGAGACAGAAUAAAUACAGUAUAUAGAUAGAUGUACACAUUCAAGAGGGGACUUGUGAGGGCAAUUGGUUCACAUGAUUAUGGAGGCUGAGAAGUCCCAUUGGAGGCCUUCUGC
rnacentral:lncRNA from 1 species